rnacentral:rRNA from 1 species
GUUUUCCUUAGGGAAACUGCCGAAAGGUCAUUG